AUGGGCGGCGGCUGGCAGGUGCCAGUCGGGAGAAAGCAUGGCUACUUCCGGAGUCUUAGGACAGGUUCCUUUUGUGGUGGCCCGGCCGCGCCAACCUCAGGCAGGACUGCAUCCCGGGGCCGAGGCAGCCCUACCAUGACCGGUCCAUUUCGCGUCUACCCUCAGAGGCAGGGGUAAACAUAAAUCCUCAAAAAAAAGUGAGUUAAUUAGAACACGCUAGAAAGGAGAAGCCUGAACGGGAGCUGCGUGAGAGAGCCCGGGCGGGGAAAGCAAAAGCAGGUACGAUGUGUAGAUCUUGAGCUCGGAAAACAGAUCGUAUUUAUGGCACAGAAAUCCCUAAGGCUCCUCUGUCAAGAGAGGUUUCUGGAAGGUGUGGGCGCAGAGAGGUAGGAGGAAGACAGAGCUCAUCUCUGUGGAGGCUGCAAGACUGAGAUAGACCCCACCCCUCCACCCCCAACAGUUGAGCAGAUGCCCGAGAAGCCUGGGCUCAGGUAGACGGUCUGCAAAAGAACUACGCUUCAGGAAGCUGCCCUCUGCUCAUCUCUGCCCGAGGCUAUGGGUCUGAACAAGGCCGCUCAAACCUUGAAACAGCCCCUGCUUGUGGCCAGCGUGGUUCUAAUAAGGAUUCAUUACUAGAAUCACAGACUCUUUCACCCAUUAAAUGAACAGGGGUUAAAAAAAAGAGAGAGAGAGACAGAGAAUACCAGAGGUUGGACAUCUCAGGCAGAGAACGCUGCCAGUGGGAGAGCAAACCCACCCAGCCUCCCCCGGGGCCGAGGGGCAUUUGGCAACAGGAACAAAAAGCUUUGACAUGUGCGUACUUUGUUUAUUCAACAAUGCCACUUUAAGGACGGCGCGCGAUUAUUUCUGGACCAGGAUAUUCAUUGGAGUUAUUUAUACUAAUGGAAAAGUGUUGGAAAUGAGUCUGAUGUCCAAAAUUUCCAAGAGUCAGGGACUGGGUAAGCAGAUGGUGAGUAGCUCUACAAUACAGCCAUCAAAAAUCCUGUUGGGGAAGAAUAGUCAGUGACAUUAGAAAAUGUUUGUGCUGCGUGUAUGUGGCGGGCUAAAAAACCAACCACCACUGGUGUGUGUUCAGUGUGAUUCUGAUGGUCUAAAACAAGACAGAGUGAAAAAAAGCGUAACAGACAAAGCAACAAGAAAACCUAGACUGGCAGGAAGUACACAGGAACAUCAACGGCGAUCAUUCAUGGACGGUGGGGUUACCGAUGAUGUACAUUUUCUUCUUCCUGUUUGUCGGUAUUUUCUGAAUUUUCUACGAUAAACAUGUAUUAUGUGCAAAGUCGGAAACAAAUAAUCGGGUACUUUGCAAAACGAACGAGGGAAAUGGGCGGUGGAAGGAUUUGUCAAGUUCAUCAAACUUGGAUGGGAUUCAGGAACCAAGCUUAGCUUUGGGGAAAAAGCCCCUCUCCCACUCUCCCUUCCCAGGACUCCCAGGAGAGACACUCGUAAAUAAAAGAAAUGCACUCAG